rnacentral:rRNA from 1 species
AUUGAACGCUGGCGGCAGGCCUAACACAUGCAAGUCGAACGGUAGCACAGAGAGCUUGCUCUCGGGUGACGAGUGGCGGACGGGUGAGUAACGUCUGGGAAACUGCCCGAUGGAGGGGGAUAACUACUGGAAACGGUAGCUAAUACCGCAUAACGUCGCAAGACCAAAGUGGGGGACCUUCGGGCCUCACACCAUCGGAUGUGCCCAGAUGGGAUUAGCUAGUAGGUGGGGUAAUGGUUCACCUAGGAGACGAUCCCUAGCUGGUCUGAGAGGAUGACCAGCCACACUGGAACUGAGAAACGGUCCAGACUCCUACGGGAGGCAGCAGUGGGGAAUAUUGCACAAUGGGCGCAAGCCUGAUGCAGCCAUGCCGCGUGUAUGAAGAAGGCCUUCGGGUUGUAAAGUACUUUCAGCGGGGAGGAAGGCGGUGAAGUUAAUAGCUUCACCGAUUGACGUUACCCGCAGAAGAAGCACCGGCUAACUCCGUGCCAGCAGCCGCCGUAA